UACGUAGGGUGCAAGCGUUGUCCGGAAUUAUUGGGCGUAAAGAGCUCGUAGGCGGCUUGUCGCGUCGGCUGUGAAAACCUGGGGCUCAACCCCGGGCCUGCAGCCGAUACGGGCAAGCUAGAAUUCGGUAGGGGAGACUGGAAUUCCUGGUGUCGCGGUGAAAUGCGCAGAUAUCAGGAGGAACACCGGUGGCGAAGGCGGGUCUCUGGGCCGAAAUUGACGCUGAGGAGCGAAAGCGUGGGGAGCAAACAGG
rnacentral:rRNA from 1 species